UUCCUGGUGGUUUAGUGGCUAGGAUUCGGCGCUUUCACCGCCGCGGCCCGGGUUCGAUUCCCGGUCAGGGAA